rnacentral:rRNA from 1 species
AGUGAACGCUGGCGGUAGGCCUAACACAUGCAAGUCGAACGGCAGCACAGUAAGAGCUUGCUCUUACGGGUGGCGAGUGGCGGACGGGUGAGGAAUACAACGGAAUCUACUUUUUCGGGGGGGAUAACGUAGGGAAACUUACGCUAAUACCGCAUACGACCUACGGGGGAAAGCAGGGGAUCUUCGGACCUGGCGCGAAUGAAUGAGCCGAUGUCGGAUUAGCUAGUGGGCGGGGUAAAGGCCCACCAAGUCGACGAUCCGUAGCUGGUCUGAGAGGAGGGUCGGCCACACUGGAACUGAGACACGGUCCAGGCUCCUACGGGAGGCAGCAGUGGGGAAUAGUGGGCAAUGGGGGCAAGCCUGAUCCAGCCAUCGCGCGUGUGUGAAGGCGGCCUUCGGGUUGUGAAGCCCGUUUGUGGGGAAAGAACAGCAGCAGGUUAAGACGCCGCGGGUGUGACGGUACCCGAAGAAUAAGCACCGGCUAACUUCGUG